rnacentral:lncRNA from 1 species
UACGAAGCUAUAUUUGAAACGGUCUGAAAAGUAACAGUGGACAACUUGCUCCCAGUAGUUGCUUGAUCCAAUUGCUUCAGACAAAUAUCAUGGCAUUCCCGUCUAGUUCUGUACCCUUGAAGCCUGAAGUGAUGCUCUUUGGGUGCUGAUUAUCUUUUUGAUCACUUCUGAAGCCUAAACCUCCCUGUUUCCAUAGCUAUUAACAUAAGAGGGGAGGAUAACACCUUUGGAGAUACUCUGACAGAAAUGCUUCAUAACUCAAAGAGUUCACAGAACACAGCAGGACUUCCAAACAUGAAGUCAAAGCUCUUUUUGCUUCAUUCUGGUUCCUAAUAUAAAUUUAAAAUCUUUGCUGGCUGGAGAACUGACUUUCCAAAUGCAUCUCUUCUGUAUUCUUUUCUGCAUUGGCAAAUGACAUAUUAACAUAAAUAGUGUGCAAGAGGCUCAGAGGUGAUCCAAGUCUGACAUCUGGAAAUGCUGUGCAAAUAUUUGAUUACGUCAGUCCAAAUCAGAACUGUCACCAAGUUAAAUAUAUCUUAGAGUUGUCUCCAAUGUUAGUCCUAUUCAGAGUGGAUCCACUGAAAAUAGUUCAUUAAGCAUGUUUAUUAAUUUCAGUGAAUUUACCAUAUGUAAGAGUAACAUUGGAUCCUCCCAUAAGAGUUGUAGUCAACUAAGCCCUACUCAGAGUAGACUCAUUGAAAUUAGUAGACCUAAGCUAGUCAUGUCUGUUAAUUUCACUGGUCCUAGCAUUGAAUACCACACUUAGUAUUUGAGUGGUAUGAAUUUUAAGCUGUUAUCCUAUGCAUUCUUACCUGAGAGUAAGCCCCAUGGAACACAAUGGCCCUUAUUUCUGAUUAAAUGAGCAUAAAAUUGCACUGUGAAUCAAGUAUCAUGCAACCCUAUGCAUGUUUACUCAGAAGUAAACUAUAGUGAAUUCAAUGAGACUUAAUCUCAGAUAAGCGUAUCGUAUUGCAGCCUUAAAUUAAUUAAGUCUGCAUGUGAGUAAAUCUUUCUGAAGGGACAGGGAAAGACUUCCUCCACAUAAACACUUUGUUGUUGUUGUUGUUAAUUGAUUAGUCUAACAAAUUAUUAAUUAGCAGCAAUUACAAAUCAUCACAAAGGCACCAAUGAUUCUGGCACUUGCCAGAAUCAUUCCAAAGGCACCAAAAUGGCUUUGCCCAGGCCACAAAUGAGCUAUUUGGUGGGGCCUGAGUGCAAACCCUGCUUUCAGCCCAUCUGACAACAUAGGGCAAGUCGGCAUGGCUUGGCUAAAAUGGCCUGGCAGACCUUAUUAGAUCCACAGGCCAGAAGUUCCCCGUACUAAUCUGAUUCUGUCCUAAUUCCAGUAUAUGUAUGUGUAUAUAUAUGUGUGUGUACACACACACACACACACACACACACACACAAUUUCAAGAAAGAAGUUAUAACUAUAUUUGACUAAAAUCAUUAAUAUUUCAGAAUGCUGUAAUGAAAUUAAAUCCUGCUGAUGAGAUUUAGAUAUUCAUAACAUUCUCUGUAUUACAUCACACAUGGGAUGUGUGUGGUGUGUGUGCGUGUGCUUGAUUCUCCAGAAAAUCAAGGUUCUGUUUCCAAAUUGUCCUGCAAGUGAAACCUCCAAUUAACAACAACAACAAAACUAAGGCAUUUUGGAUGUAUUUGUUAUGACCUGGCAGAUAAUAUCCUGAAAUUAAGAGAGGUUAUUUUAUACGUAGAAUGGAAAUCAUGCAUUGAGCCUGCAAUUCUGUACCCAUUUAUCUAGAGUAAGCUCCAAUGUACUUGAUGUACAGUGGUACCUCGCAAGACGAAUGCCUUGCAAGACGAAAAACGCGCAAGACGAAAGAGUUUUCCGUUUUUUGAGUCGUUCCGCAAGACGAAUUUCCCUAUGGGCUUGCUUCGCAAGACGAAACGUCUUGCGAGUUCUUGCGAGUUUGUUUCCUUUUUCUUAAAGCCGCUAAGCCGUUAAUAGCCGCUUAAAGCCGCUAAGCCGCUAAGCCGUUAAUAGCCGCUAAGCCGCUAAUAGCCGUGCUUCGCAAGACGAAAAAACCGCAAGACGAAGAGACUCGCGGAACGGAUUAAUUUCGUCUUGCGAGGCACCACUGUAUUGUUAGAAUGUUGGAUUAGGGACCAGAAGACCAAGGAUCAAACCCCCACAUGGCCAUGAAACUCAGUGGGUGACCUUGGGCCAAUCAUUCCUUCUCAGCCUAACCUCCUGCAGAGGGGUUGUUGAGGAGAACCAUAUAUGCCACUCUGAGCUGCUUGUGGGGUGGGGUGGAAGGUGUGAUAUAAAUGCAAUGAAUAAAUAAAUAAAUAAAUGCUGCUAAGUGGGUAAGUACAACCUAUAUUUUAGUAAUGUUACAGUUAGAAGAUAUAUGGUUAGCUCAAGAAGUUACAUGUGAACAUCCUAAUUAGUCAAUGUGAAUGUGCUUGUGCAAUUUAAAAUAUACAAUAAGAACUAUAGUUACCAGUGCCUUUUUAUUAGUUUGGCUGCCAAAAAAAAUUCACAGUAUUUAAUAAGUUCAAAAACAGGGAUUGCUUUGAAGAAUUAAAAACUUAAAACAUAUGCCAAGCUUUUUUUUUUUUUUUUGCUUGACAUCUCUUUUUUCUUUUUUUUAAGAAAGCAGUAUGAUGUAGGGGUUAGUGUUGAAUUAGGACCUGGGCAACCAGAGUUCUUUUUUAAAAAAAUAUAAUUUUUAUUAACAGGCUAAUCAAAUCACAUUAUUUCCAAAUCACAUUAAUUCCAAAUUAUACAGCCAAAUUUUUAAAUUUUCUUGGGGGUACCCAUACUUCAAGCUCUGAACGGGGGUCCAAGCAUCACUUUUAUUGCUGCUUUAAUUAGACAGUUCUAUCCAGUUCUAUCCGGAUAGUCUCUUUAUUACUUUCUUCAUCUUCUUGUUAUUAUCGUAUAUUCCUUUCUUUGCAAUCUCUGAUAAACUUCACAAGCGGGUUGGAAGCAAACAUCCUCUGUGUGGGUUUUACACUCUCCAAAAAUCAUAUCACAUAGGGACAGCCGCCAUUCCACACCUCCGUAAAGAAUUUAUCCUCGGUCUGUCCAUUAAUUUUCCCAGGCUUUCCAAGUAUAUCCGAGGGCUCUGCCAGGUUUAGAUCACAUUCCAAUCAUCAUUCACAUUCCGAUGAUCCUGGUCCUCCUCCCCCUGUCUUUCUUAGACAAGCCUGUCUUAGCGAGGCGCCAUUUAAAACUGCGUCAUAAAAUUUUCCUCCGUUCUCCGGUGUUUACCAAUCGUCUCUUUGAUCCAUAAUUCUCCCCACGCAGUUCUUAAAAUCCUGCUUGUGAUUAAUAAAAUGCAACGAUUCUUCUUUUCUGGGGUGGAGGGUUAUUAAUACUCACAUAAGGCAAAGAAAAGAAAAGUUUUUUCCUCCACCCCCCUUCUGUUUCACUCCAAACAUACCAGUCUCUUAAUGGUGAUUCAUCACUUGAUUUAUUUGUCCCGCCCGUUGCUCCGGUCCCAGAGAUCCAUUAAUCAGCAGUCUUAGCUCCCAAACCUCGCUUGAUGUAUGUGCUUCAGCUUCUUUCCAAUUAUAUAUUUCCAAUUAUAUUUUCGAGCUGAAGCGAACCAGUACGCUGAUUGGAGAAAGCGUCAGGAAGAGCCGACUUCACCGAGGGCUGGUGCCAAGUGACCGGGCACCCCCUUCUUUCGAUCCGGGGGUGCAUUAUGGACACCGCUGGCAAGGCAGUCCCCCCCAUCUCCUUGGGGGGUCGGGAAGGCUGCAUACUUCCCAUAGCAGCCUCUUAAUUACCUCGGGUGUGUCGGAGAGAUGUUAUUGUCAGCCAUCUUCCAAUGCGCCACCUAGUGGCCCCCCCGGGCGACCAGAGUUCAUACCCCUGCUCAGCCAUGAAGCUCACAUGGUGGCCUUCGGCUAGUUGCUGUCUCUCAGCCUAACCUACCUCACAGGGUUGUCAUGAGGAUAAAAUGGAGAGGUGGAGAACCAUCUACAUCACCUUGAGCUCCUUAGAGAAAAAUAUAUUAAUUGCUAAGUGACUGUAUAGAGGUCCUCACACUCCUAUUUUUUGAAAUCUCAAUAACACCUCCAGUUUGUGCUUUGGGGUGAUCAUUCUUAACAAAUUCUGAGAGAUAAAUAAUCUUUCUUUAAAUUGGCUGGUAAUUAAACUCUUGGUGUAGACAUGACGCUGUAACCCAAGUGUGUCUAUUUCCUUUGCACUUCCUCUUUCAUACUAGAAUGCAAUAAGUUUUAGUAAGUUAUUAUCCUCUUAUCAAUAAUUGGGCUGGAUGCACACCCAUCAUUUGGGGUGUGGUUCUAUAUUUCAAAAGGAAUCAAGCCACCUUUGUAUCCAAACUCCAAUUAGUCAUCUUUUCCAUCUCUUCUUUAACAAUCCAUGCAAUUCUUGCAGCAUAGUCAUUGGAAACUGUGUGAUCUGAUAUUUGAAUAUGUUUAAAUCUGGUUUUGGUUAGGAAUUCUUUAAAUAUGGAACUAGUGAAGUUUGUCCCAUUAUUGUCACAAUUAUGUAUAAUCACAAAUAAGGAUAGUCCUUGGGUAGCAAAGCUUUGUGUAAUCCAGAAAGUGCUGUCAUUCUCAAUAUUUAGUUCUGUACUCCUGACUUUUGAGGUGGCAACAGACUUCUCAAAAGGAAAUAUAUCUGACAGCCAUAGACACAGAGAAAAAUUACUUUCUGUUUGUCCUCAUUUGUGAUUUCACGUUAUUCAUUGCUGGGAAGAAACUGAAAGGAACUAGCAAGAAUAGUUGAAGGGCCAAGUUGUGGCCCUGCCCUGUCAGAAUGACAGUGUAAGUUUAUGUUACAUUUUCUAAAAAAUUAUUAUGUUGAC